UACGGAGGGUGCAAGCGUUAUCCGGAUUCACUGGGUUUAAAGGGUGCGUAGGUGGGCAGGUAAGUCAGUGGUGAAAUCUCCGGGCUUAGCCCGGAAACUGCCAUUGAUACUAUCUGUCUUGAAUACCGUGGAGGUGAGCGGAAUAUGUCAUGUAGCGGUGAAAUGCUUAGAUAUGACAUAGAACACCAAUUGCGAAGGCAGCUUACUACCCGAAUAUUGACACUGAGGCACGAAAGCGUGGGGAUCAAACAGG
rnacentral:rRNA from 1 species